rnacentral:rRNA from 1 species
AGAUUGAACGCUGGCGGCGUGCCUAACACAUGCAAGUCGAGCGGUAACAGGUGUAGCAAUACAUGCUGACGAGCGGCGAACGGGUGAGUAAUGCUUCGGAAUCUACCUUAUGGUGGGGAAUAACUAGCCGAAAGGUUAGCUAAUACCGCAUACGUCCUACGGGAGAAAGCAGGGGAUCGCAAGACCUUGCGACCAAAAGAUGAGCCGAAGUCGGAUUAGCUAGUGGUAGGUACGCCUACAGGCGACGAUCCGUAGCUGGUCUGAGAGGACGACCAGCCACACGUGGAACUGACGACACGGUCCAGACUCCGUACGGGAGCAGCGAGGUGGGGAAUAGUUAGGAACAAGGUACGGGGGGAAACCCU